rnacentral:rRNA from 1 species
GAAUAUGGGGGGACCAUCCUCCAAGCCUAAAUACUCCUUAACGACCGAUAGUGAACAAGUACCGUGAGGGAAAGGUGAAAAGAACCCCGGGAGGGGAGUGAAAUAGAAUCUGAAAUCAAGUGCUUACAAACAGUUGGAGCUCUAUAUCAAUUUAUUGAUAUUUAGAGUGACAGCGUACCUUUUGCAUAAUGGGUCAGCGAGUUAAUCUAUGAAGCAAGCUUAAGCCGUUAGGUGUAGGCGUAGCGAAAGCAAGUCUGAAUAGGGCGUUUUAGUUUUAUGGAUUAGACCCGAAACCAAGUGAUCUAGUCAUGACCAGAUUGAAGGUGUGGUAAAACACACUGGAGGAUCGAACCAGUUAAUGUUGCAACAUUAUUGGAUGAGUUGUGAUUAGGGGUGAAAGGCCAAUCAAACACCGUGAUAGCUGGUUCUCCGAAAGCUAUUUAGGUAGCGCCUCGUGAAUUCAUCUCCGGGGGUAGAGCACUGUUUCGGCAAGGGGGUCAUCCCGACUUACCAACCCGAUGCAAACUGCGAAUACCGGAGAAUGUUAUCACGGGAGACACACGGCGGGUGCUAACGUCCGUCGUGAAGAGGGAAACAACCCAGACCGCCAGCUAAGGUCCCAAAGUCAUGGUUAAGUGGGAAACGAUGUGGGAAGGCCCAGACAGCCAGGAUGUUGGCUUAGAAGCAGCCAUCAUUUAAAGAAAGCGUAAUAGCUCACUGGUCGAGUCGGCCUGCGCGGAAGAUUUAACGGGGCUCAAACCAUACACCGAAGCUACGGGUAUCACCUUCGGGUGAUGCGGUAGAGCGCGGAAGAUGUAACGGGGCUAAACCAUGCACCGAAGCUGCGGCAGCGACGCUUAUGCGUUGUUGGGUAGGGGAGCGUUCUGUAAGCCUGCGAAGGUGUGCUGUGAGGCAUGCUGGAGGUAUCAGAAGUGCGAAUGCUGACAUAAGUAACGAUAAAGCGGGUGAAAAGCCCGCUCGCCGGAAGACCAAGGGUUCCUGUCCAACGUUAAUCGGGGCAGGGUGAGUCGACCCCUAAGGCGAGGCCGAAAGGCGUAGUCGAUGGGAAACAGGUUAAUAUUCCUGUACUUGGUGUUACUGCGAAGGGGGGACGGAGAAGGCUAUGUUGGCCGGGCGACGGUUGUCCCGGUUUAAGCGUGUAGGCUGGUUUUCCAGGCAAAUCCGGAAAAUCAAGGCUGAGGCGUGAUGACGAGGCACUACGGUGCUGAAGCAACAAAUGCCCUGCUUCCAGGAAAAGCCUCUAAGCAUCAGGUAACAUCAAAUCGUACCCCAAACCGACACAGGUGGUCAGGUAGAGAAUACCAAGGCGCUUGAGAGAACUCGGGUGAAGGAACUAGGCAAAAUGGUGCCGUAACUUCGGGAGAAGGCACGCUGAUAUGUAGGUGAAGCGACUUGCUCGUGGAGCUGAAAUCAGUCGAAGAUACCAGCUGGCUGCAACUGUUUAUUAAAAACACAGCACUGUGCAAACACGAAAGUGGACGUAUACGGUGUGACGCCUGCCCGGUGCCGGAAGGUUAAUUGAUGGGGUUAGCGCAAGCGAAGCUCUUGAUCGAAGCCCCGGUAAACGGCGGCCGUAACAAUAACGGUCCUAAGGUAGCGAAAUUCCUUGUCGGGUAAGUUCCGACCCGCACGAAUGGCGUAA